UUUAGGGGUCUCAAUCCGCACUCUGGCACCCGUGAGACGAACGAAUUUUUCGGAUGGCACGCCGUUUCCGCUUCUGGUCAUUUCAUCACCCCGUUAAUCUUUCCUUUCGAAUUGCACGUCAUUUCUUCAUUUUCUCUCCCCGUUUUUCUCCUUUUUAUUUAUGUCUCACAAAAUAUCCAGUUCAGUCCCCAAUCAGCACAGGCAUGUUCGAGUUUCUCGCCGGUCAAUGGCGCUUGCGCUUUCGUGUUCCCCUCCGGCCGCGACAUUUGUGUACCCCACCGGCCGUGGGCGCCGCUCCUCUCCCCGUCUCUGUCCAAUGAGAGUUCGUUCUUGCGAUUUGGGGUUAGUCCGGCUAUGGAAUCCGGCGAGGACGGCGACUGUAGCGGCGGGCAGUGACGCUUGAUUUGUAUCUAGGUACAUCAGAUGUCGAUUUCACUUCACGACGUAUUCGAUCUGUCCGGGGCGGCCAGGGAACCUUGGAGCAAGGAGGCAAUGGCUAUGCGCCCACACACUUCUGCUGCUAUCUUUCUGCCCAGUUUGUAGUCGCCGCGUCCUUCUCGUGCUCUUGGAUGUGUUGUUUCCUGCAGGAGCCUCUUGCUUGGUGCAUUGCGUUUAUGUUGCACGAAUUUUUGUGUCUGCUUAAUAAUAUAAGUACUACUUCACAGUUGUUAUGUAGCCUAGCUCUCUUGAUCUA